GUGGGGAAUAUUGGGCAAUGGGCGAAAGCCUGACCCAGCAACGCCGCGUGAGGGAAGAAGGUUUUCGGAUUGUAAACCUCUGUCCUUGGGGACGAAGAAAGUGACGGUACCCAUGGAGGAAGCCCCGGCUAACUACGUGCCAGCAGCCGCGGUAAUACGUAGGGGGCGAGCGUUGUUCGGAAUGACUGGGCGUAAAGGGCGCGUAGGCGGCCGAUUAAGUCUGGAGUGAAAGUCCUGUUUUUAAGGCGGGAAUUGCUUUGGAGACUGGUUGGCUUGAGUGCGGAAGAGGUAAGUGGAAUUCCCAGUGUAGCGGUGAAAUGCGUAGAGAUUGGGAGGAACACCAGUGGCGAAGGCGACUUACUGGGCCGUAACUGACGCUGAAGCGCGAAAGCGUGGGGAGCGAACAGGAUUAGAUACCCGGGUAGUCC
rnacentral:rRNA from 1 species